AGCGAGAAGACGUAGCAAUACGUUUGUAAAGCGGCGAACGGGUGAGGAAUACAUGGGUAACCUACCCUAGAGUGGGGAAUAACUAGCCGAAAGGUUAGCUAAUACCGCGUACGCUCCCUGGACUUCGGUUCAGGGGGGAAAGCGCUACCGAGGGUAGCGCGCUCUUGGAUGGGCUCAUGUCCUAUCAGCUUGUUGGUGAGGUAACGGCUCACCAAGGCUUCGACGGGUAGCUGGUCUGAGAGGACGAUCAGCCACACUGGCACUGCGACACGGGCCAGACUCCUACGGGAGGCAGCAGUAAGGAAUAUUGCGCAAUGGGCGAAAGCCUGACGCAGCGACGCCGCGUGGGGGAUGAAGGUCUUCGGAUUGUAAACCCCUUUCGGGAGGGAAGAUGGAGUGGGGUAACCCACUCGGACGGUACCUCCAGAAGCAGCCACGGCUAACUUCGUGCCAGCAGCCGCGGUAAUACGAAGGUGGCAAGCGUUAUUCGGAUUUACUGGGCGUACAGGGAGCGUAGGCGGUUCGGUAAGCCCUCUGUGAAAUCUUCAGGCUUAACCUGGAAAAGUCGGAGGGGACUGCCGGGCUAGAGGACGGGAGAGGAGCGCAGAAUUCCCGGUGUAGCGGUGAAAUGCGUAGAGAUCGGGAGGAAGGCCGGUGGCGAAGGCGGCGCUCUGGAACGUUUCUGACGCUGAGGCUCGAA
rnacentral:rRNA from 1 species